AUAAAAUAAAUUUCUCGUUUUUCAGUAAUUAUCUCAUUGUCACAGCAGGGUUCAUCUCGUUUCCAUCCUUUGCAUUUUAGCAGUGCAGUUUUUGUCUUUUUUAAAUUGUUUACUUGGCGAUUUCACUUUUUUGGCUGUACAGCGAUUCCCUUGCCGGGAAAGACACGCCACAAUCCGAUCCCAAACGUCCUAUCUUCAACGUUACCUGCUCUACGCCAUUGUUUAUUUGCCAAUCAUAACUGCCCAAAAACUUGCCAAAAAUGCUUCCUCUGUCUUCUCCGUUUCCUCUCUUUCUCCUAACACCGCCGCCGCCAUGCGUCCGCAGUUGUCGAGAGCCGGUCUAAUACUUACCACCAAAAUCCACAUUAUGGCCUUAGAUGGAAUCUUCAAUGUGAACUCUUUAUUCACUUUGGCCCUCUUUCUUGGUCUCGCUUGGUACCCUGCUCCUGAUCCCUCCGUCACCCUCGUCACCGAUCCUUCCUGUGUUGCCAGCUCCGCUAUCGCCGAGGACCUCAUUGCCUUUCAUGUCUACUCUUUUAGCUCUUUUCUCUUCUCCAGCCUCAUUGCUUUAGCUCUCAAGCAGGCUAUCAAGAUUGCAGAUAAAGACGACAAUAAUAUUGUUACUGUUGAUGAGGUGGGAAGUGCGUCCCUGGUGCACGUUAACUUGGUGUUGUUAAGGGUGGGGACUUUGAUUUCUGGGUUUGGGUCUGUUUUCGGAUGUGGAUUCUUGAUGAUGGCUUUGGUGGACUUGGUGCAGAUAAAGUUGGGGACCUUAGCUUGUGGGAGUUUGUAUAGUUUUGCUGCAAUUGGUCCUCUGAAACCACCUCAAAAACUCCUUGAAAUUUCACUCUUUGUGAAGAAAUGGCGUGAUAGAUCUCAUGCCAGAGGGCUUAAGCAGCAUGCCUUGGCCCUUCAUCUUGCUCUUGCCAAAAAAGGGCAUGAGCUACAUGUUUUCACCACUUCUCCCCUCAACUCUGCCUUCCCAAGUUACCCAAUUAGCAAUUUAUAUUUUCACUUUCAAAACCAACGGCUGCUGGUCAUCUGGACCAAGCUUUGGUCUGGAAGCUAUAUCAAACUCAGAACUUAACUGGAAAACCUUUCGAUGUAGUCCACAUUGAAAGUGCUGGGCUCUGGUAUGCUCAGUUAUGGAACAUGACAAACUUAGCUGUUACUUGGCAUGGGAUUGCAUAUGAAACCAUUCAUACGGACAUCAUUGAAGAACUUUUACGGAAUCCUGAAGAACUAAAAGCAUAUGCAUUGUCUGAAAGAAUAACCAAGGUUGUUGAAGGGGGUCAAAUUUUUACGUGAUUAUGCUCACCAUGUUGCUACUGGUGAUCAUGCUGGAGAUGUCCUGAAAAGGAUCUAUAUGAUCCCAGAAGAAUGAAUGCAUGUUAUUCUCAAUGGAGUGAAUGAGGAGGUUUCUGAGCCAGACGAUGCCAAGGACAAGGAAUUUAAGCAGAAGUUUGGUGUCACAAAAGGUAGAUUGUUCGUUCUGGGCAUGGCAGGGAGGUAAAGUACAGCCCUUACUGUUUGAAGGUCUAAAGUAAAUACUCAAGGAAAAUAGUACAUUUCGUGCGAACACAAUUGUUCUGGUUGCUGGAGAUAGUCCUUGGGGCCCUAGAUACAGAGAUCUUGGAGCUAAUGCACUUGUUCUAGGGCCAAUGGAACAAAGUCAACUGGCAAGGUUCUACAAUGCGUCAACGCCAGAGCCAUUUUUGUGAACCCAACUGUUGGAGCUCAUGGAUUGGAUCAUACUUUGUUGGAAGCAAUGCUUUCUGGUUUGCCUGUGAUGGCUACGAGGGUAGCCUGCAUCACAGGAGCUGCGAUUAUUGGCAAAGAAAUGGGCUUUAUCUUUUCAACAACAGUACUUUCAUUGAAGAAUGCUCUUUAUAGAGUUUUGAGUGAUGGCAUAGGAGUUCUAGAAAGGAAAGGCCAGGUUGCUAGGCAGAGAGGGUCGCAGCAUUUCACUGCUACCAAAAUGGCAGCCGCUUAUGAAAGGCUUUUUCUUUGCAUAUCAAAUGAUGAGAACAGAAUGGAAGAUUAUUGUCAAUGCCAACCUUCAGUCCAACUAAAAAAUAGCAGCAUCAUUAACUAAUUCAAUAAUGAGAGAGCUAGCAAUGAAGUGUUACAUGGAACUCUGUAAUUUCUGUUUGAAUGCUCCUGUCAUUAUGAUUAAGUAGUCGGGUUGAAGCUGUGGAGGAGCCAGUUGAAGGGAGACAUUUAAGAAGAAAGUGGGACAGAAACCAAGAUACCUUAUUGUAGUGUUACCAUAUAAACAUAUGAUAGAUCUGAAUCCAUUAAGUAGCUAUGACCAUUCUUAAGCACUGAACACUUAUUAAUUGUUUAUGACACUUAAAAAAUUGCU